UACGUAGGUGGCAAGCGUUGUCCGGAAUUAUUGGGCGUAAAGCGCGCGCAGGCGGCCUCUUAAGUCUGAUGUGAAAGCCCCCGGCUCAACCGGGGAGGGCCAUUGGAAACUGGGAGGCUUGAGUAUAGGAGAGAAGAGUGGAAUUCCACGUGUAGCGGUGGAAAUGCGUAGAGAUGUGGAGGAACACCAGUGGCGAAGGCGACUCUUUGGCCUAUAACUGACGCUGAGGCGCGAAAGCGUGGGGAGCAAACAGG
rnacentral:rRNA from 1 species